UAUACUUAAAGCACCAGUUUCAACGGUCGUCGUGCGUCAUUUAUUUACGAAAACCCCCUCAGAUUUUUUUUCAAUUAACCCGCACUCACGUUCGCGUCCGCCGACCCUCGCACACACCGCCUCCCGCACGCAUCGCAACCUCCACGCAACAAACGCCCCGCCCACUCCGCGUCUCCUCUAUCUCCCAACUCCUAAGCCGUCGCAUCCCUAGAGCUCCGCGUCCCAAGCCUCGCAUGCGCGCCAUUCGAGGUAACCAACCCCUUCUCUUCCGUUGUGCUGCAGGUGGAGUACGUGGCGCAGGAAGAGGCGGAGGAGAAGAAGGAAGCGCUCAACCCAAACUCGUGGUCGUCCACCAGCAAGUGCCACCACGUCUGAAUCUCCGAUUGCCCGCCGCCUUCGCCACGUGAUCUCCGAUUGCCCGCGCCGUGCUCGACGCCUCCAUCCUUGCUCUGUCGUGGGUGGUCGCACCCUGCUCGGCGCGCACGCGGGGUGGCCUUCACCCCACCUUCCUCCGAUUUGCACCGGCCGUGGCACUGCCACUGCACCAGCUCCGUUGUUGCCGUACACCAUCGACGACGGCGUGGUAUCUGCAGUGACCUCCAAGCCCGACCUCCCAAGGUAAUGACGGUGUCUCUCCCCACCUGUACCUUGUACGCGCAAUGAUUGGGUUGGUGGGAUGUAAUUGUUUUUGUGGAAGGUGGGAUUGGAUGCCUUUGUUAAAUCUAUAUCUAGAAACUGACCAUCGUAAUCAUUGUGGAGUUGGCAUGAAUAAGCAAGAUGCGAGCAUGAAGAACUAAAAGAGGCAGUAGCUAAGAUACUAUGGCAUAUGACAAGGAACUAUGCUGGUUGCAUCUCCCAAUGGUUGAACCAUGAAGAACAGGUAUAGAAAUCAGAAUCACAACCACAGCUGCUAAUUCUAUGUGCCAAGUGAACUAAAAAGCAGCUAGCACUCUAAACUCUAACCCAUGUAAGAAGACCAAUCAGGCUAGGUAGCAUUAAAGAAAAAUGGGAGAAAAUCUUUCUCUUUUUUUAGGAUAGGCUGAAGAAAAUCCAUAAACUUGAAAGCAGGGGAGAAAUAGUCAAGGGGAAAAAGAGAAAUAAGAAUGCUUAGGUACAUAGCUUUUGUUACCUCUAUGAUUCAGCAACCAGCACUUCCCAUACUUCAAAUUUUCAAAAUUUGUAACUAAAUACCUUAUCACAGGAAACAUGCUUAGCUGCUAAAGAUGUUAUGUCGUUUGAUCUACUUAAGAAGAGUCUAAUGUAUCUAUUGAACGCGAUGGGAGUUCGUAUCCGAAAAGUGUAUGAUGAGGUCAGAGGGUCGGCAAUUCUUAAUUCAAACUCAUUCAUAUUCUGAAAGUAAACUAAAAUGUUCUUGGUUUUAGGAAUGGUCCUACAUUUCUGUUGGAUGGUCCUUACCAAACACAGAUCAGAAAAAUCUUGCAUUUGGUGCUACAACAAGCAUGGUGCAUCCUGCAACCAGUACAGACGAAUCAUCAAGUUUUUACACACCAGUUUCCACCUAGCAUAUAUUGACAACUUUUCACAAAAUACAUAGGGUACUUAGUGGUCAGAUCUUUGUUUGGUGCUCCAAGAUGGCAAGAUAUGCUUCUGUGAUAUCUGACAUCGUAAGAAAUUGAGUUCCUGAAGAAUAUUUGCUUGGAAAUUCACAAAAUUACAUUCCAUCAAUGUUCGGUAAGCAUUAUUAUGGUAUUUAUUCAACUUGGUUGGUUCUACUGUCUAAAGGUUCAGACAAGUUAGCAAAACUUUAUGUGACCCACUAUUAUAUGAUGUUACAACAUGGAGAAUAUUGUCGCCUCAAGAAAGGAAACACCAACAAUCAUUCUUCCUUUUUUGAUUAGUGUUGGUAAUCCAAUUGAAUAAUGAGGCCAUACAAAGAUUUUUCGAAGCCUAGGGUGCCGUAUCGAUGAGUAUGGUAAGGUUAUUCUGAGCUUGUCAACCUCUUUCGACAUGUAUGGUAAGCUGAACUGUGCCAAUUUCUAGCUUGUAAAUACAACAAAAAGGAUAAGUUGACUGCAUGUUCAUGUGCUCAUGUGAAAUGGACUACUGGGUGCUGCUAAGGAUUGGGGUGACGGUCUAUCAUGGCAUGGUGGAAUAAGCAUGUAUUUUUGCAUGACGCUUUGGUGGAAGCCGCAAAGGAGGAGGAGGCUCAUUGAGGAGCAUAAUUUCAUAGGCUACCAAGAGCAAGAGGUGGAAGUGUCCAGCGCUAUAUCUGCUUCGGCGUCGAGCUGCUCCUGUGCGUGACCUGCAAGUGCGACGUCCACAAGGAGUUUAGCUUCAACCACCGUGUCAGAUCAGGUAGCUCAUGUCCAUCCUCAUCUUUGGGUUUCAGGUUUUGCCUUACAAUUCACUGUACAAGGUUAAUCGCACCGAAUUUUGAAUCACACGAUUAUGUAGGUCGCCUCUCCUUCCCUCCUUUUUGUUCUGUUCUUCAUUUUAAUGUUAUAUGUGUUGACUAAAUA